rnacentral:tRNA from 1 species
GGGCCCAUAGUCUAGUGGUAAAACACGUCCUCGGCAUGGACGAGUCGGGAGUUCGACUCUCCCUGGGUCCACUA